GACAUGUGGGCGAUCCGUGUGCGCGCGAUCAGACGGCCCAGAUCCGUUCCCGCGCGCACAGACGGCCCAGAAAAAAAAUGCGCAUGGACGGCCCAGAUCUCACGCGUGCGGACGGUGUAGAUUUGAUCACGUACGGACGACUUAGAUCGCAUCGCGAUGGACGGGCCUAGAUUUAUUUCUAAUUUAAUUGCGAUCGGACGGUCCAUAUUAAAUUAUGAUGGACGACUCAGAUUAAAAGGGAAAGGUUAUAAAUAAUUGCAUCCACACCCAACCCCAAACCUUAGCUGCCAGAACCCUCGCCGGAGA
rnacentral:lncRNA from 1 species